rnacentral:lncRNA from 1 species
GUGUUGCCAUUGCUGCGUAAGUUACCUCUCAGUAUUGUGGAUGAACUUGAACAAGAUUUGAAGCAGAUGAUUCUUCGACGCUCUUUCUUGACAGUUGUCCAUGCUUGUAUCAAAUGCCUUCGCAGUAUGAGUAAGAUUGCUGGAAAGGGGGCAGAUGUAAUUGAGCAUCUUAUCCAGGUCUUCUUCAAAUGUUUGGAUACCCAGGCAAUUGUAAACAAACAGCAAGUUGGGCGAUCUCUCUUCUGUAUCGGCUUACUUAUUCGUUAUGGCAACUGUUUGCUAGCAAGCUCUGGUAAUAAACUUGUUGAUGUCAGAAGGAGCCUCAGCUUGUUUAUGAAGUAUCUUGCCGUGGAUGAUUAUUCUCUUAAGGUUAGAUCAUCGCAGGCACUAGGAUAUGUUCUAAUUGCAAGGCCUGAAUUUAUGUUAGAACAUGACAUUGGAAAGAUACUGGAGGAAACACUGUCUUCUCAUGCUGAUGCUCGACUUAAGAUUCAAGCAUUGCAAAACAUGUUCGAGUAUCUUCUUGACGCUGAAAGCAAAAUGGAAGCAGAAGUUGAUGAUAAUGUGCCUGGUCACUCGGUCAGAGCUGGGCAGAGUGUACCUGUUGCUGCCGGGGCUGGAGAUACAAGCAUAUGUGGGGGUAUUGUUCAGUUGUACUGGGAUAAUAUUUUGGGCCGAUGUUUGGAUUGUGAUGAACAAGUUCGACAAUCAGCCUUGAAGAUUGUUGAAAUUGUGCUGCGCCAAGGUCUUGUUCAUCCCAUCACCUGUAUUCCAUAUCUCAUAGCACUUGAAACAGAUCCUCUGGAGUCAAAUUCAAAAUUGGCUCAUCAUCUCCUAAUGAAUAUGAAUGAGAAGUAUCCUGCAUUUUUUGAAAGCCGCUUGGGUGAUGGACUUCAAAUGUCCUUUAUGUUCAUGCAAGCUAUUUGUGUUAUUCCUGAUGAAAAUGUUAACCACAAGACCCCAUCUAAGAUCCCUGUUUCUGGAAAAGGGAAACCUGAGUCUGACUCAAUCACACAAUCAAGAGUUGGGGUUUCUCGAAUAUACAAGCUCGUCCGAGGGAACCGGAUGUCGAGGAAUGAAUUUAUGUCCUCAAUAGUGCGAAAAUUUGAUAAUCCAAAAUGGAACAAAUUUGUAAUAGCUCUCUUAACGUACUGCACAGAGGUUCUUGCCUUGCUCCCAUUCAUUGCACCUGAUGAACCACUUUAUUUAAUCUAUGCUAUCAAUAGAGUAGUUCAGGUUAGGGCUGGUCAACUGGAGGCGAACUUCAAAGCCUGGUGUUCAAGCUUAUUACGGAGUGAGGGUGACGUUACACCUCAUGGGAAUGGAAUGCAUCAACAAGCGCCAAAUGAACCUAUUCAUUCAACCCAAGUUAUGUCAACGGACUUAAAUGGUACAUUUCAGCAAAGUGUAGAUGUUCAGCCCAACCUCGAUGACAUGAAGAAUAGGAUGAGGGCCAAUAGAAAAGGGUUUUGGGUGACUUUGGUCAAUGUUGACCAAAAAGUCAACUGUUGACCAAAGUCAACAAUUGGUCAAAAAUGUCAAAUUUUGUAUUUUCUUGUAUGGAAUCACAUGUAAUGGUUUAAAAUGACAUGAAAUAAAUUGAAAUGGAUUAACAAAUGGUUUGAAGUUGGUUUCCAAAUUGUUUUUUUUUAUGACUUGGAUGACUUUUGAUGUACAUGAACAAGGCCAUGAAAUGAGACCAUAAGGUUAGGGUUUUGACAUAGUAUCCAUGAACCAAUAACAUGACUGGCAAGUGGCUAGAAACACAAGAAACUUGGUUGUUCAGAUGACCCAGACCAUAGAUGUAUCCACAAUCACAACACCAUGACUUUGGAUCAAAAACCAAUCCUCAUAUAAAACCAAAGUAAGGUUAGGCCAAGCAUGCCAAACAAACAUAAAAAUUUAGGACCAAAAUCGGGGUAUGACAAUAACAUCCAGUUUGACAUUCAAUAAAUCCUGUAUUAGCUAAACCUGCAGUAUACUACUCAAGUAUGUCAUGACAUCAGCCAAGACAUCAGAGUACAACUAGAUAUUCUAACAUACAAUGCAGUCAAGCAAACAUCUCCACAGCAUGUCAUGACAUCAGUCAAGACAUUAGAAUCCAGCUAGUGUUUUACCAUACAAUGCAGCCAAUUAAACAUCUACAAAAUCAAUCCACACAUCUUUGAAAUUUUUACCACGAACUACGGGGUUUUGAUCCCUCAUUUAUGUUGGUACGUAAACAUAAGACCAAAAUUCUUGUCAGACACAAACUGUAAAUAAUGAAUUCUUUUCUCAUCCCCUCAUUCUAUUUUUAAAACGAACAUCUUUUCAACUAAAAUAAGUACACACAAAAAGGGCUCCCCAGGAGUACCUAAGACACUUUGGGUGCUAAUACAUUCCAUCUGUGUAACCAACCCCCUUACCUAUAAUCUCUGACAUUUUAUUAGUUUUGAUUUUAAAACUUCUUAUCUUUGGGUUUUGUUCGUACUUUUUCCCUUUUUCUUUGGAAAUAAUAAAAGCGCGGUUGCGACUCUGGUUUUAUUGACGUUGAGUUAACCAAUAGCCCAGUGGUCAUAAAUUUACCACUACACUUUCCUUCAGGAAUAAAUAAAGUUUAGUGGUGAGUCUGUUAUAUCUUCGAGCGUGCAGUGCGCUCAAGUAUUUUUCACGGUGUAAUAGUUGCACCCGCUAGUAACAAUGAAAGAGACACCACUAUAGUGCAAAACCCCCAGUUUUUUAUACAGAAAAAUUUGACUAUUGGAAAGAUAGAAUAUAAAGUUUUUUUCUCGGUCAUGAUGUGGAUCUAUGGGACAUGGUAGUUGAUGGCUACAUUCAACCUGUAGAUGGCAGUGGUAAUAAGGUAGAAAGAAGAAUGAUGAAUGAUCAAUAAAAGAAAGAUUACAAGAAUCAUCAUAAAGCAAGAACAAUCAUGUUAAAUGUUAUAUCAUACUCUGAGUAUGAAAAGAUCAUAAAUAGAGACACAACAAAGUCUAUAUUUGAUUCUCGAAGGGUGAUUCAUGAAGAAAACGCUCAAGUAAAAGAAACCAAGGCGCUUGCCUUGAUACAAAAGUAUGAAGCCUUCAAGGUGGAAUAUACGGAACAUGUUAAGAACAUGUUCUCAUGGUUUCAGACUCUUUUUGCAGGACUGAAGAUUCUGGACAAAGGUUACUCAACUGCAGAUCAUGUUAAGAAAAUUAUUAGAACCUUACUCAAGAUAUGGAUGCAUAUGGUAACUGUGCUAAAACUAUCAAAGGAUAUGAAUAACACAACUCUUGAAGAACUUGUGAGUUCUUUGAGAAGUCAUAAGAUAGAGCUUAAAGAGGAUGAGCCUCAAAGAAAAGUUAAAUUUGUGGCUCUAAAAUCUAUGGGAAAGUUUGAAAAGACUAAAGCAUUUCAAGCUGAAGAAGAAGAGGAUUCUGAAGAAGACUCUAAAAAAGAUGAUGAAUUGUCCCUUCUUUCCAAAUGAGUUAAUCAACUCGGGAAGAAAAGGCAAGGCAAGUUCAGAAGCUCCAGAAGGACAGGCGGCCGCUCUGAGUCUACAUCUGGACCAAAGAAGUCAGGUGCUGGAAAAGAUGUUAUUUUCUUUGAGUGUAAGGAGCCAGAUCACUACAAGAAUAAGUGUUCUGAGCCAAGGAAAGAUAGACCAAAGAAGAAAGACUUCAGAGGAAAUAAGAAAGGUUUGAUGGCUACCUGGGAUGACUUUGAAUCCUCAGAAGAUGAUUCGGAGGAAGAGCAAGCUAAUGUGGGGUUGAUGGAAAGCACAAUAACAUCUGAUGAAAAGAUCCAAUCAAAAUCAAAAUAUGAGUCAGACUCUGAAGAGGUAUUUCCUAUCUUAUCUCCCUCUAAAUUAGAAUCUCGUCUUUCUGAAAUUCUGGAAAAAUAUUAGAAGCUUUAGAACAAAUAUAAGGAUCUGAAACAAGUCCAAGUAUCUGAAUAUGAAGCACAUAGUAAGCUUAAGAAAGAUUUUUCCACCUUGGACGAAGAAAAAUGUAUUCUGAAAAAUGAAAACUCCGCUCUUCAAAGAAAAUUUUCUAAACUUGAGGAAGAAAUUCUUUCAAAAGCUUAUGUGGAUUCCGAAAAUGUCAUAAAGAAAUAUGACAAAGCUACUUGAGAAGUUUGUAGAUCUAGAGACCACUUAUUCAGGCUCUGAAGGUAAAAUUUUAGAAGCUAAAGAUAAUUAGGCAAAAGACUCUGAAAUUGUUCAACCAGAAAUUAUUAAAGUUCAGACUCCUAUGAAAAAGCACAAACAAAUAUCCUCACACUCUGAAGAAUUAAUUUUGGGAGAUAAAACAUAACCAAUCAUAACUAGAUCAUCAUUCAAACUUUCUAAAGAAAUACUCAUGGGUUUGGUAUCCCUCAUAGAACCUACAUUAGUUGAUGAAACACUUCUGGACACUUAGUGGAUUCUGGAAAUGCAAGAAAAACUGAACAAAUUCUCCAGAAAUGAUGUGUGGAUUCUUGUGUCAAAACCCAAAGGAAUUGAUCUCAUUGGGACCAAAUGGGUAUUCAGAAACAAGCAAAAUGAAAAAGGAGAAGUGGUAAGAAACAAGGUCAGACUGGUUGCACAAGGCUAUAGUCAGCAAGAGGGGAUUGACUAUACUGAGACCUUUGCACCAGUUGUCAGGUUAGAGUCUAUUUGUCUCUAAAUUUCUUUUGCUGUAAAUCAUAACAUCAUCUUGUGUCAUACUCCAAUUUUGUCGGAGAAUUUUACUAUUAUAUGAGCUUUAGCUGUAAUUUAUCUCGAAUAAAUGAGAUAACCCAUUUGAUAGUAAGGUGAGAUUCAAGGAGGUACAAGUGUGUAAGGUUGUUGUUUAAACCCCAUUGUUGUCAAUUAUAUUUGUUUUUUAGUCAAAAGUUAAUAAAAGAGGUCAAAGCUUGUUUUUUAAAUUUUAAUUAUUAUUUCCAUUUUUAUUUUUAAUCAUUUUUUAAAAAUUAAUAUUUUCACUAUUAUGUAUUUUUAAUCCAAAAAAAGGAAGAUUUUAAAUUUGAUUUGUUAUUUGUAGCAUUUUUUUCACAUCUUGAAGAGCAAGUUAGUUUUUAGGAAAGAUUUAAUUCGUUAAAAAUGCAAAGAAUCUUAAUCAAAUUAUUUCAGAUUUAAAAUUUAAUUUUUUUUUACGUUCACUUUUUGACUUUAACCUAAUUUUUUAAUGUAUAAUAGACCAAGUUUCUUACACCAAUGCCCAUCGGUUCUUACACAAAAAAAAACACAUGGUACAUAUUCAUACACACUCUCAUACACCAACUUUUCUCUUAGAAUUCACAUACACAUUUUCAUCCACAUUGUAUAUAAUUCCACACUACAAUACUCAUUGAUGUACCCGUUUUACACAUACAAGUCAUCCACCAUACUCUCUCACUCUCAUUGACAAAGAAAAAAAUAGGACAACAAAUCCUAAUCAUGUUACACGUUUUGUAUCCACCACUACAGCAUUCAACCAUACCAAUUUCCACACACUGGAAAACCUACCUCUUCACGUUUUGCUUAUGCCGUAAAAAAAGAACCAUUCGCAAUCAUAAACCAAAAACAUCAAAGUCACCAACCUAUCUCCAACCAUUAAUCUAACACCAUACCUUCACAAAAUCAUCAUUCAACAAAAAAAACACAACACUUCCAUCCCUAACAUUCCUUUAACACCACAAAAUUCACAAAAAAGAAACUCAAAACAUAAACUCCUUCAUAAACCAAGCCGAAAAUCAAUCUUUUCCUCCACCAAUCUCCAAACCUCACUCAACAAUAACACAAUCAAAAACCACCAACCUUGAAUCAUCCCAUAUCACCAUCAACAAAAUAACAACAUUAUAGUAGAACAAAAUAAAUUCACCAACGAAAGUCAAAACAACAAUAUUCCAACAACAAAAUCAUAAAAACAACUAUUGGAAAUGGAGAAGAAGGAGAAGUAAAGGCCAAUGUGACGCAACCGCUGCUACUGCCAUGUGAAAUCACUCGCCGCGCCAUCUCCUCCAUCGACCAUCCCCACCGUAGACCAUCAUCUUCGCGCCGCAAACCACCAGGGACCUUCUCACACCGGAAGACGUCGACAAAGCCACCAGUCUUCGUCGCCCUCUUUGUCUUCAAAGAUCCAUCGUGAAAUCUGCGACCGAAUCAAGAAGCUCCCUCCGUCGCCGUUCGAAGUCCGCUGGCCCACUAAUCUCCUCCGCUCCACUCGGUUAUCCUCUUUUCUUCGAUUUCUCUAAUAUGUUGGAUUACGUUUGUUCUUCAAUUUAACUUGUGAAAAAUGGAUUGUGGUUUUAUCUUGAAAGAGAAAAAGAGAAAGAUGGAUAAGAAGUAUGCGAUCAUUCUUUGCCUUGUUUUGAUACGUGGCACUUGGCCAUUGAAUGGAGGUUCUUGGUACAUGGGGCGCCGCCCUCUGAAAUACUUGUAUGAAAACAUAUAAAUUCAUAUUUUUAAAAACAUUUAAUAAGAAAUGAGAAAAUUUUAAAUUUAUUUUAAAUUAAUUCAUUUUUAAUUGGAUUAAUGAGUUAGUUGUGAUUAUUUUUAAUUGGAUUCAUAUUUUUAUUUUUUAAUUAAUAAUAAAAUUGUGAUUGAUUGUGUAUAUAAAUAUUAAGUUUGUUUUCAUCUGAGAAUUUUCCUCUUUAUUAAUUGAGUUUUUUUUAUUAAUUAAGUUAGUACAAUUAGGACUCUUAGAGACGUGGACUGGGCCUUGAGCCUUGUCCUUUUCUAAUCACCCUUCACUCAUC